UAGGGAAUCUUCCGCAAUGGGCGAAAGCCUGACGGAGUAACGCCGCGUGAGUGAUGAAGGUCUUCGGAUCGUAAAACUCUGUUAUUAGGGAAGAACAAAUGUGUAAGUAACUAUGCACGUCUUGACGGUACCUAAUCAGAAAGCCACGGCUAACUACGUGCCAGCAGCCGCGGUAAUACGUAGGUGGCAAGCGUUAUCCGGAAUUAUUGGGCGUAAAGCGCGCGUAGGCGGUUUUUUAAGUCUGAUGUGAAAGCCCACGGCUCAACCGUGGAGGGUCAUUGGAAACUGGAAAACUUGAGUGCAGAAGAGGAAAGUGGAAUUCCAUGUGUAGCGGUGAAAUGCGCAGAGAUAUGGAGGAACACCAGUGGCGAAGGCGACUUUCUGGUCUGUAACUGACGCUGAUGUGCGAAAGCGUGGGGAUCAAACAGG
rnacentral:rRNA from 1 species